AGAGUUUGAUCCUGGCUCAGGACGAACGCUGGCGGCAUGCCUAAUACAUGCAAGUCGAACGAACCAUCCUGAAGAUUGAAGCUUGCUUCAUGAUUCAGACCUUGGUGAGUGGCGGACGGGUGAGUAACACGUGGGUAACCUGCCCAAAAGUGGGGGAUAACAUUUGGAAACAAGUGCUAAUACCGCAUAACAACUACUUUCACAUGAUCGUAGCUUGAAAGAUGGCUCUGCUAUCGCUUUUGGAUGGACCCGCGGCGUAUUAGCUAGUUGGUGAGGUAAUAGCUCACCAAGGCAAUGAUACGUAGCCGACCUGAGAGGGUAAUCGGCCACAUUGGGACUGAGACACGGCCCAAACUCCUACGGGAGGCAGCAGUAGGGAAUCUUCCACAAUGGGCGAAAGCCUGAUGGAGCAAUGCCGCGUGAGUGAAGAAGGUUUUCGGAUCGUAAAACUCUGUUGUUGAAGAAGAACAUGCGUGAGAGUAACUGUUCACGUACUGACGGUAUUCAACCAGAAAGCCACGGCUAACUACGUGCCAGCAGCCGCGGUAAUACGUAGGUGGCAAGCGUUGUCCGGAUUUAUUGGGCGUAAAGAGAAUGUAGGCGGUUUAUUAAGUUUGAAGUGAAAGCCCUCGGCUCAACCGAGGAAGUGCUUCGAAAACUGGUAAACUUGAGUGCAGAAGAGGAAAGUGGAACUCCAUGUGUAGCGGUGGAAUGCGUAGAUAUAUGGAAGAACACCAGUGGCGAAGGCGGCUUUCUGGUCUGUAACUGACGCUGAGAUUCGAAAGCAUGGGUAGCAAACAGGAUUAGAUACCCUGGUAGUCCAUGCCGUAAACGAUGAGUGCUAAGUGUUGGAGGGUUUCCGCCCUUCAGUGCUGCAGCUAACGCAUUAAGCACUCCGCCUGGGGAGUACGAUCGCAAGAUUGAAACUCAAAGGAAUUGACGGGGGCCCGCACAAGCGGUGGAGCAUGUGGUUUAAUUCGAAGCAACGCGAAGAACCUUACCAGGUCUUGACAUACCAUGACAAACUAAGAGAUUAGUCUUUCCCUUCGGGGACAUGGAUACAGGUGGUGCAUGGUUGUCGUCAGCU
rnacentral:rRNA from 1 species